rnacentral:lncRNA from 1 species
AUGCAUUUCCUUCUAUGUUUGCCGGGGUCUGUGCCCUCCACUGAGAGUGCUGUUGGACUGCUAAUGCACAUCCAACCCUCUCACUGCAGUCCCCACGCUCUAACAUUGACUGUCUCGCAGCAAAGCCACCUCGAGCAUCAUUGGAUUGAGUUAUCAUUUGAGCGCCCCCUCAGACACUCUGCACGAUCCAGCCUUCAGAGUUUGAGGGGCGGCACAAAAGGCUGGCAAAGAUGGCCAGUUUAUGACUGCUCAUACAGCCGCCACGUUCUCGCAAUGGCGACGUGGCCCGAUUUUUAUCUUGGUGAAUUAAAUCCUGCCGUGGAUACGCUUCAGGAUUAUACACAACGAAACGCAGCGAGUUUACGCAUGCGCUUUACUUCAUGUUCGCCAGGGACUGUGCCCUCCACUAUAGAGUGCUGUUGGACCGCUAAUGCGCAUCCAACACUCUCACUGCAGUCCCUACGCUCUGACAUUGACUGUCUCGCAGCAAACAGCGCUUCGAGCAGCAUUGGAUCGGGCUGUGACGCCAGGCAUAAAUAAUAACUAAUAAUCCCUCAGACACUGCGCAAUCCAGCUUUCAGAUUUUGAGGGGUGAUUCUAGGGUCUUACACAGACGACCCAUUUAUGACGGCUCGCACAGCCGCCGUUUUAGUUAGCGGCAGAGCUUGAUGUUCAAUUCGUUGGUCUAAUUCCUGCCGUGGACACGUUCAGGAUUAUACACAACGGGACGCAAUAGCUCUUAUGCAUACACUUCCCCUGUGCACGAAUGCCGCAGGCUUUUCCGUGCACGGACAUUAUGUGUAUGACAACGUUGCAGAAAGCGGAAAUUUGAGACUGCUAGUAUCGUUUUGGGUCGCGUGUAACGCUUGCCCGGCAUUUCUCAAUGGGUGUUACGCACAAUUGUCACGGAUACACCAAUUCGCUUUUUAGAGGCCCGCCUCUUUCCGCUGAAUUCUUUCCACGGUGGUAGACUGAUGGUAAUAGCAGUGUUGUGACAGGAGAUGUCAACUCUGCUGAGCAAAGGGGCUAUAGAAGUCGUAGACCCCGUACUUCUCAAUGCAUGGAUGUAGCUCUGGCCCCGUUGCGGCUCCAGGGCGUCCAUCUGUUAACCACUUGGACGAUUGACAGCGGCAUUCCCCGUAAUUUGUCUGGGGUUACUUCACAUGCGCCCCUUUUCAGUGGAAAAGUGGGCGGAAAGACGAAAUAUUUCACCCCGUUGUCUUCCGCGUCCGACGAUUUCGGUGACACGGAGUUGUGUGAUGUCGUUAAAACUAUGGAUGCCAACCGAGUUUCUCCUACCGGGGUUCGGCUGGGGAUUGAGCUUUCCCAGAGACCGUCACGACGGAUGCGUCUUUGACCGGUUGGGGAGCUGUUUGUCAAGGGCUAUCAGCCCAUGGAGUGUGGACAGCUGCACAACGCAGUUGGUAUAUAAACCGGUUGGAAUUACUGGCAGUUUUCUGGCUCUCCAGUAAUUCGCGAAUCUGCUGAUCGGCCGUCUUGUGCUGCUCAGAUCAGACAACACAGCGUUUGUCUCAUACCUGAAUCAUUAGGAAGGAUUACGCUCUCGCCCCCUGUGCAGGCUGGCGAGACAUGUUCUUCUCUGGUCUCAGAGAAAAUUUCUGUCGAUCCGAGUUGUUCAUGUCCCCGGACGUUUGAACUUCGGAGCGGAUAUGCUAUCCAGACAGGCUCUGGAACAGGGAGAAUGGAGAUUACACCUCCAGACGGUGAAUCUUUUAUGGUGGAUAUUCGGCAAAGCGAAAGUGGAUUUAUUCGCGUCAAACAUGACUACGCAUUGCCCACUAUGGUUCUCCCUAUGCCCCCCAUCGCCCCUGGGCGUGGAUGCAUUAGCUCACAGCUGGCCCAGGACCAGUCUGUAUGCUUUUCCUCCGAUUCAUUUGAUCCCAGCGGUAUUAUGCAGAAUACGGAGGGACAGCUGCUGCUGGUGGCUCGGCGAUGGCACACGCAGCCGUGGUUUGCGGAUCUAUCAGUCUGCUAGCGGGCUCUCCGUGGAGAUUCCCCUCAGACAAGAUUUAUUAUCACAAGCACCGGGGCUGAUUUGGCACCCGAGGCCGGAUCUGUGGAAACUGUGGGCGUGGCCACUGAGCGGAGUGCAUUAGUAUGUCCCGGUCUUUCUGUUGGAACCACUGAGACUAUAUUGAAUUCUAGAGCAGCUUCUACGAGACGCUUAUAUGCUUUCAAGUGGAGACUGAUUACAGCCUGGUGUGGCAAUCGUAAUGUGGAUCCAGUUUACUGCCCAGUGGCUUCAGUGCUGGAGUUCCUCCAGGAUUGUUUUUCGGAUGGCGUAACACCAGCCACUUUUAAGGUUUACGUGGCAGCCAUUUCAGCUUACCACGAAUACAUAGGCGGUGCCUCUAUGAGGCGUCAUCCACUAGUUUCUCGUUUCGUACAGCGUGCGCGACGGCUGAGGCCUUUCCGCCCUGUGCGAGUUCCUUCAUGGGGUUUAUCCUUUGUGUUGCUAGGUUUAUCAGGGCAUCCGUUUGAGCCCUUGGAGCCCGUAUCGUAUAAAUUCUUGACACUGAAGACAUUUCUUCUCAUGGCUUUAUCCUCCCUCAAGAGAGUUGGGGAUUUACAGGCUCUUUCUGUUUCACCCUCAUGCAUGGAAUUUGCACCGGGCUCUGUGAAGGUGCUGCUGCGGCCCAGGCCUAACUAUGUUCCUAGGUCGCAUCUAACCUCUUUCGCUUUCAGUAAGUGUUCCUGGAAGCUUUUCACCUGCUGAGGCUGGAUCAAGAGAUCUAAGUCUUUGCCCUGUGAGAGCUUAAAGACUUAUGUGGAUCGUACAGCCCCUUGGCAUGAAUCUGACCAGCUGUUUGUCUGUUUUGGACAUAAAAGUAAGGGCCAUGCGGUUACAAAGCAGCGCAUGUCCCAUUGGCUGGUGGAGGCAAUUUCUUUGGCCUAUGAGGCGCGCGGACUCGCUUCGCCCUUAGGAAUUGAGGCUCAUUCCACUUGAGCUGUGGCUUCUUCUCAAGCUUUUCUCAGUGGAUCUUCUAUGGAUGAUAUCUGUGCUGCGGCAGGAUGGUCCUCACCGAGCAUUUUUAUCAAGUCCUACAGUCUGGAUGUGAGGAUGGCUCCUGGCUCCCGGGUUCUCUCCGCUUGAGCAGAUGCUUCCUCGGAUCUCAGUUAUCAGGUACGUCAGGCGUUUUAGUAUAUCGUUCCCAUACGUGGUGACGUCACCGCAGCAUCGAAGUGACCUAUGAUAGGGAACAUCUCGGUUACGUAUGUAACCUUGGUUCCCUGAAUAGGGAACGAGAUGCUGCGGUUCUGGCCGUUCCGUACCUUGAUAAUUUCUUCAUCUUCAGUCAUGAAAUCUGAGCGAAAUGGCGAGCUGCACCCAGGUAUAUCAUGCGUGCGCAUGCGUAGGGUGGUGCUAUGCGCCAUUUGGCCAAUAGGAUUGGCGGGAUGGUAUAGGGCUUCAGACAUUCGUCACACCGGAGGUGUUCCCAUACGUGGUGACGUCACCGCAGCAUCUCGUUCCCUAUUCAGGGAACCAAGGUUACAUACGUAACCGAGAUGUUCUGCUCUGGGUGGGAUGAAUUAGGAAGCUUGCAUUGUGAAGGGCGCUCUGAAAAUCGGCAGUGCAGGUAAAAGAUUAAAACCUCUAUUAAAACAGAUGUCCAAAUGAGCGUACCGGCUCACUUAAAGCCCUGGCAAUGACUAUACUUUGGAAUUUUUUUGCAGUCCACUUAGAAUUCAACAUGGAAAUCAUUUUUGUUUUUUAUUGGCAUUGAUUGUUUUGAAAUUCAAAUGGUACUUACAUGCCUGUGUUUUUAUUUCUGUAAUAAAUAUGGCUUUCAAGCCAACAGUUAAUUUGGAGGAUAUUGAUGAUUUAUUGCAGGUAUGUUGUUUACAUGAGAAAAUCUGUGUUACAAGUUAAACAAAAAUUCCAAUAAACAAUCAUAUUUUGAAUUUAAAUAGUUUCUUUGUCUUGAGUUUACAUUAAUUAUUUACAUUUUACAUUUACCUAUCCAAAAAGUUUCAGUCUUUUAAUUGCGAUUAAUCGCGAUUAAUCGCGAUUAAUUUUAAAAAAUUGUGCGAUUAAUUAGUUAAUUUUUUUUAAUCGAUUGACAGCACUAAUAUAUAUAUAUAUAUAUAUAUAUAUAUAUAUAUAUAUAUAUAUAUAUAUAUAUAUAUAUAUAUAUAUAUAUAUAUAUAUAUAUAAUUUAUCUCCUUUUUAUUACAUUUUUAAUAGUACAUUUAGAUAUCAUGUUACUAUAAA